rnacentral:rRNA from 1 species
AUUGAACGCUGGCGGCAGGCCUAACACAUGCAAGUCGAGCGGAUGAAGGGAGCUCGCUCCUGGAUUCAGCGGCGGACGGGUGAGUAAUGCCUAGGAAUCUGCCUGGUAGUGGGGGACAACGUUUCGAAAGGAACGCUAAUACCGCAUACGUCCUACGGGAGAAAGCAGGGGACCUUCGGGCCUUGCGCUAUCAGAUGAGCCUAGGUCGGAUUAGCUAGUUGGUGAGGUAAUGGCUCACCAAGGCGACGAUCCGUAACUGGUCUGAGAGGAUGAUCAGUCACACUGGAACUGAGACACGGUCCAGACUCCUACGGGAGGCAGCAGUGGGGAAUAUUGGACAAUGGGCGGAAGCCUGAUCCAGCCAUGCCGCGUGUGUGAAGAAGGUCUUCGGAUUGUAAAGCACUUUAAGUUGGGAGGAAGGGUUGUAGAUUAGUACUCUGCAAUUUUGACGUUACCGACAGAAUAAGCACCGGCUAACUCUGUGCCAGCCGCCGCAGUAAUAC